rnacentral:lncRNA from 1 species
GAACUGAUCUUGGCAGCUUGAGCCCAAGAUCGGUCGCUGGCGCGCUUCUUGUGUUCCUCGAGCUCCUUCUCGAAGUUCGCUUUCCUCCGACUGUACUCCAUGAUCCCCUUCACGUGGAGGUUCCGAAAGCAGGUGGCCUUCGUGGUGGCUUCAGAGUGGCUCUCCCUCAACCUGCGAAGCUCGCCAUCCAUCUCCUUUG